CGCCUGAGGAAGACCCCACGAAAGAGAUGUACGCCCAGGUGAAACCUUCCAGAUUCAGGAGGUCAGAGGUCACCUCUCCUUCCACCAUGUCAAAGGAAAUACUGAACAUGAAGGACAGAAAGGCAGUAAAAGGCAAAGUGAAGGACAGUCAGGCUGCUGCAUCUGAGGCCCCACAGGACGUGACCUAUGCCCAGCUGUUCUUCAUGACACCAAGACAGGGGCAGAAGAGACUCCUGCCUCCCAGGCAGGGAAUCCCCAGCUGAGACCAGGGAGCACCCUGCCCUAGUGUCCACAGCCCAGAAAGACUCUGGCCCUACACUCCACAGAGGGAGACUCAGGGGUGUCUGAGGGAUGUGAUCUUCCUCCAGGUGGACCCCCAUCUUGCUAGCCACACCUGCCACCACGAGAUUCUGGGAAUUGUAGGGACUUACUUGAUUCUGUUACAUAAUGUCCCUACAUUUUGUAAAUAAAGCAAAAAUUUUGUCGAUAAUCAAUAAAUGAUUA